GAUGAACGCUAGCUACAGGCUUAACACAUGCAAGUCGAGGGGCAGCAUGGUCUUAGCUUGCUAAGGCCGAUGGCGACCGGCGCACGGGUGAGUAACACGUAUCCAACCUGCCGUCUACUCUUGGACAGCCUUCUGAAAGGAAGAUUAAUACAAGAUGGCAUCAUGAGUCCGCAUGUUCACAUGAUUAAAGGUAUUCCGGUAGACGACGGGGAUGCGUUCCAUUAGAUAGUAGGCGGGGUAACGGCCCACCUAGUCUUCGAUGGAUAGGGGUUCUGAGAGGAAGGUCCCCCACAUUGGAACUGAGACACGGUCCAAACUCCUACGGGAGGCAGCAGUGAGGAAUAUUGGUCAAUGGGCGAGAGCCUGAACCAGCCAAGUAGCGUGAAGGAUGACCGCCCUAUGGGUUGUAAACUUCUUUUAUAAAGGAAUAAAGUCGGGUAUGGAUACCCGUUUGCAUGUACUUUAUGAAUA
rnacentral:rRNA from 1 species